AUGGAAAAGGAGAGUUAGAUUUUUCUUCCUUCUUUUGAAUCAUUCCGGCAAAGAGCUCCGCAUAUCAAAAUACGACGGGAGAUCCCGUUUGUUCUGCGCUGAGGCCAUAGAAUGGGGUAUCGAGGGUCUGUUGCCUCUUACCGAGCUUCAAGACCUUGAGAACAACAUACUAACCAUUCAAGUCUUCGUUGGAGUAGACGAAAUUGUUCAUCAAGGACAGUCAACUGAGAAGGAUCUAUCAGAAUUCCAAGGUGUCCGGAUCCUUGCUUCUCAAGGUCUUUCAGCGAUCCGGCUUAUGAGGCAGCACCCAGGAUUUUGUUUAGAUUUCGCUCCAAAGUACCCGGAGCUGAGGGCAGUAUACUACACUCUCUUGUUCUCCCUCAUCUAGACACUGAGCAAGUCUCCACAGAGCUUGUCUCUGGCUGAACUAACCAAUGCUCAAUCCCAAUUGACCGAGCUGACGAAGGCAGGCUUCAAGCUCGACUUCUUGGAGUCAAAGCUCGAGGACCUUUCCUUGGAGAGGAAGAAAGCAGUUGUCCAACUCGAGGAACGGGUCAAGAAUGUGGAACUGACUUUGGAGAAGAUCAAAUACGCGGCUGCUGCUAGAGUUUCUUCGUUUGGGUUCUUAGACUUCCUCGUAAAGAGAUUCUUUCUCUCUUGCUUCUCAAUCUGAAAGUGUGUAAGCUUAGACAUGAUCAUCACAUGUCAUUACUAAAGCGCAUAGAUGACGAUUAUCUGUUGUCACUUGAUUUCCCUAGCCGUUGAUUUCGGUAGGUACGUGUAAACUAGUGGAUGAUCUUAGGUACUUGCUCUUUUUAUAUUGCAAAAGGCAUUGUGUGUUUGACUUUGAUUGCAAACAAAAUACUCAAUUAUCGCUCUUUUUCACCACCAUCAGAGUGGAGCAUCCAAUUUCAAAUCCGAUUUCUACACCUGCAGCAUUUGAAACAUUUAACAGAGUAGUGGGACAAGGUAUUCUAGACUCUAGUGUAUGUGUGUCAUUGGAAACCAGACCAAAGUCUUUAAAACUAAGUAACUAACAACCCACCCCAUAGUACUGUACUACUGUAGCUUCUCGGUUCCUGUGAGUGCAUCAUCAUCAUCUAGCCACUUAGAGCAUCAGACCUUAUAAAAAUACUAGUGAUGAUUUCACUAUUUUGCCAAAAUUUUAUAAAAGGAGGAG